CGCGAGGCAGCCGUGUCUCCGCAUUCUGUGAGCGGCAGCGCCCUGGGCCUCGCUGAUCUUGUGUCAUUUCAGUGACCUUCGCUCUAGUCUUUGACGGGGCCACACUCGGGGUGUAAAUUAGGAUCCUCACUGAAGGCGCGCGACCCUGAGAGGCUUUUUCCUGGUCCCUUAGUUGUGAGUUUUCCUGCGGGCGGCGGAGCCCGUUUCCACCAGAACCGCCCAGAGGCCGGCGCUGCCUUCCUGGGGUGACGGAGCAGCUGGAAGCGUUUUCGGAUCCUGGAAUCAGUGGGCGGCCCGUGGGAGGGGCUGAGGCGCAGUUCCCUGCUCACCCGGCUCCGAAUCCACCGCGGUGCUGUUUCAAGCGAGUCAGAUUCCAGAUCGCGCUCCAGCCGGGACUCGGAAUUCCUGCCCCGUGGGUCUGCAUUUUCACAGCGGCAGGUGUGAGUGCCGCGCAGCUGGAGACCAGAACCCUGAAGGCAGCUCGGCCCUCCCCAGCCCACAGCGCCGUUAUUCCGUUUCUAUAUCAGUAAACACUUGUCAUUUUCCGUAGACCAGGGCGGGGUGAUGGGUGAUCCCAGUCCUCGCAGUGAACUCCGGGCCGCAGUCCUGAGAACGCGCUCGGGCGCCCAGCGCAGCCGCGUCCUGAGUUACACACGCGACCACGCUGGGCCUUUUCUCUUUCUUUUCCGGACCCAGCAGUGGCGCCUACAGUCUGCGAGGAGAAAAUCACCUUUGUGCUGGGCAUCUGAGCCGCCUUGUCCGCUGCAGUCCAAGAGCGCAGUUCCUGGUUUCGGACGAGGUAACUGGCGCCGUGAUAGGGUAUGUUCAUACCCACUGAGGAGACUGCAGUCCGAGUCCACGUCGCAGCUGUGUACCCAUUGAAGGGUGUGAGACCCAUUCCCAGCGACUGCGGUCAGCCCAGGCCGCUGAGCCCCGCCUCAGCCUCGACGGAGCCCCGCCUCAGCCUCGACCAACCCCCGGGGAUUUGGGCCUGAACUGAAAAUGGAAUCCGGUAUAGGCGCCUGGGGCUUUUAUUGGGUGGAGGAUCUCCGCUGGUCCCGCAGCGGAGUAGCACAAUCUUAGUAACAGUGGGUAGCGCAGUACAGUGGCUAGCACAAUCUUGGUAGCCCCUGAAUGGUCACGAAUCUAAUUUGUAAAAGAGGUGAUUUUUGGCCCCAUUAUAUAUAAAUGUGUCUAAACGCAUUGCAGUUAGACUCACAAAGUUAAGUUUUACUUUCCCAGACUGUGUAUCUGUGACUCUGGUCUGUUGUAUUUUUAAAUUAUCUUUAUCUUAUAGCCCUGAGUUUGUGUGCGCGAGUCCAGGACAUCUCAAUACAAAGCACAAUGUGUUACCGUAUAUUGCAACCAGGAGCCUGUACAGAAUUUAAUCACCUCAAAUUUGCAAGUGCUCAAUGCAGCCAAAGUGCCCUUCACCAGUGCUCAUGCACCGCCUUUAUUUAUCAUUUAUUUAGUUAGUUAGUUAUUUUUAGACCGAGUAUCACUCUGUUGCCCUAGCUGGAGUGCUGUGGCACGUUCAUGACUCACUGAAGCCUCGACCUCCUGGGCUCAUGCGAUCAAUGCUCCUCCUUCAGCCUCCAAGUAUCUGGCACCACAGGCUUGUACCACCACUCCUGGCUAAUUUUUCUAAAAAAAAAUUUGUAGAAAUGAGGUCUCCCUAUGUUGCUCUCGCUAGUCUUGAACUCCUGAGCUCAAAUGAUCCUCCUGCCUCAGCCUCCCAAAAUGCUGGUAUUACAGGCAUGAGCCACAAUGACCAUCUCAUGCACCUGCCUAUAUUUAGGAAUUAUUCACAUCUAAGCUAUGUGCAUAUUUUAUUGGGACACCUGGUAUUCUUUUCUAACCUGUUUAUCAUAAGGAGGCAAUUAGUUAUUAGACAGCCCCACAGAAUGUAUUAAAGACCAAGGUGCAAGUAACACUGUGCCAGGCUCUGAGGAUAAAUGGAUUAAAAAUCUAUAAAACCCUGUGUUUAAGUCUGAGAAUUCCAUUGCUUUAGAAUUCUUUCUCUCUGUUCCUUUACCUCACCUCCUGCUUCUCCAGCCCUUCUCUCUGUCCCUGUCACCCAUCAGGCCCUCCUCUCCCCUUAGUCUCUACUACUCUGUCACUACUGAAUUGCGGCCCUAGCUCUGUCCCCUCGCCUGCUGCCCAUGACUGUUCUCCCAACAAUGGUCAGAAAUCCUGCUAAUGUGAGUCAGAUUGUGUCAUUUCUUCACUUAAAACACUCCAAUGGCUCCAUCUCACUCUCAAGAAGCCUCUAAAAUGGAAGGCACAAGCACAGGGGCUUUGGGUUGUUUUGAUCAAAGUUGUGUCUGCAGCAUCUAAAAGCAUAUCUGGCACAUAGUAGGCACUAAGUUAAUUUUCUUGAGUGAAUGAAAUAUGAUUGUGUUAAAAAUUGUA
rnacentral:lncRNA from 1 species